GGAUAUCGUGUAGUUCUUGCAAUUGAAAUCACCAAGGCGACCAUGAAUCUCACCGAGUGGACGGGCGACCCAUGCCUUCCUACCUCACAUCCGUGGGUCAAAUGUAGCCAAGGAAAUCAAGAGCUAGCAGCACCUGAAAUUAUAGAAGUGUAAGUGAUUGGUACCAUGCUCUCACAUUAGGAGAAGGGCGAAGUUAAAUGAUCCUACUUCUAACACCUCCAACACUUCUGUGUAUGAUGCUCAGAAACUUGACGGGAUACAAUUUGAAUGGUUCCAUAUCCCCUAGCUUUGCGGAUCCCCUCGCUCUGACCAAUUUGUGAGUCUUCUAUCUUUUAGAAAUUGCUUACAACCUAGAUUUGUCUGCUGCUGCAAAAACAAAAUUUACGAUGAGGGCUUAUUGAUGAAACAAACCUCUUUCAGAAGCCAAUAAGGAUUGUGAACUGAAAUCUUUCUGAUUUAGAUCCACUGUUAUUUUUCUUACAGGUCCCUCAGCCACAACUCAUUCGUAGGGUCAUCGCCAGAUUUAUCGCCAUUGAAAAACCUGAAAAUUUUGUAAGUUCCAUUGCUGUUGUCUACAAUUUAUUAGUACGUGUCAAAUUCAGCCUUAAGCUAUUACAUACUCCUUUUGAAGUUAUUUGGUUAUGGUUUUUAUUGUUUCAUUUGAGAUUGUGAUAUGAUCAGACGCUUGGAGAAUAACAAUUUAAGCGAAGCCCUCCCUGAAUGGUUGACAUCCUUCUCACAGCUCAUGGAGUUGUAAGCGACGUGCAUACCCUUAAACAUCUGUGAAACAUUCAUUUGCACAUUCAACAUCAAUACUGUGACUGUUCAGCUUACCCCAUAGUUCCAAAGGUGUUGCUCCUCUUAAGCCAGAACGCUGCUCCUGUAAUUGCAGAUCUGUGCAAAACAACAACUUCAGCGGUAAUA
rnacentral:lncRNA from 1 species